rnacentral:rRNA from 1 species
GACGAACGCUGGCGGCGUGCCUAACACAUGCAAGUCGAACGAACAGACUAGGAGUUUGUUCCUCUGAUGUUAGCGGCGGACGGGUGAGUAACAUGUGUAUAACCUACCUAUAAGACUGGGAUAACUUCGGGAAACCGGAUCUUAUUCCGGAUAAUAUAUUGAUCUGCAUGGUUCAAGUGUGAAGGACGGUUUUGCUGGCGGUUGUAGACGGAUCCGCGCCGCAUUAGCUAGUAGGUAAGGUAGCGGAUUACCAAGGCAACGAGGCGUAGCCGACCUGAGAGGCUGAUCGGCCACCCGGGAACAGAGGGACGGUCCAGACUCCUAGAGUGAGAAGCGGUACAGAAUCGUACGCGAUGGGCGAAAGCGUGACAGCGUAACGCCGCGUGACGGAUGAAGGUCUUGGGAUCGUAGAACUCUGAUAUUAGUGAGGUACAAAUGUGUAAGUAACUAUGCUCGUCUUGACGGUACCGGAUCAAAAAGCCCCGGCUAACUACGUG